rnacentral:rRNA from 1 species
UACGUAGGGGGCGAGCGUUGUCCGGAUUUAUUGGGCGUAAAAGGCUUGUAGGUGGCCACGGCAAGUCGGCUGUGAAAUCUCCCGGCUCAACUGGGAGGGUCAGUCGAUACUGGCGGGCUCGAGGCCGGUAGGGGGAAGCGGAAUUCCCGGUGUAGUGGUGGAAUGCGUAGAUAUCGGGAGGAACACCAGUGGCGAAGGCGGCUCCUGGACCGGUUCUGACACUGAGGAGCGAAAGCGUGGGGAGCGGAUCCGG